UGGGGGAUACUUGGCAAUGGGGGAAACCCUUACCCAGCAACGCCGCGUGAGGGAAGAAGGUUUUCGGAUUGUAAACCUCUGUCCUUGGUGAAGAGGAAGAGACGGUACCUGAGGAGGCAGCCCCGGCUAACUACGUGCCAGCAGCCGCGGUAAUACGUAGGGGGCGAGCGUUGUCCGGAAUGACUGGGCGUAAAGGGCGCGUAGACGGUUUUUUAAGUCUGGAGUGAAAGUCCUGCUUUCAAGGUGGGAAUUGCUUUGGAGACUGGGGGACUUGAGUGCGGAAGAGGUAAGUGGAAUUCCCAGUGUAGCGGUGAAAUGCGUAGAGAUUGGGAAGAACACCAGUGGCGAAGGCGACUUACUGGGCCGUAACUGACGUUGAUGCGCGAAAGCGUGGGGAGCGAACAGG
rnacentral:rRNA from 2 species